rnacentral:rRNA from 1 species
AGAAUCAACGCUGGCGGCGUGCCUAACACAUGCAAGUCGAACGAGAAAGUGGAGCAAUCCAUGAGUAAAGUGGCGCACGGGUGAGUAACACGUGACUAACCUACCCUUGAGUGGGGAAUAAACUUCGGGAAACCGAGGCUAAUACCGCAUAACACCUACGGGUCAAAGGAGCUAAUUCGCUUAAGGAGGGGGUCGCGGCAGAUUAGUUAGUUGGCGGGGUAAUGGCCCACCAAGACAGUGAUCUGUA